GCGGCGGGCCGUGACUGGCGUUCGGGUGGAUCACCACCGGGGAGCGGCCCGGCGUACCGGUGGGUACGUCGACUGCCGCGCGCCUGGGCGAACCGC
rnacentral:ncRNA from 2 species